CGUGUAGGCGGAUGGGGACGUCGGUUGCUGAAAGCCCCCGGCUCAACCGGGGAACGGGCGCCGAAACGCCCCGUCUGGAGGGACGUAGGGGGACCUGGAACUUCCGGUGGAGCGGUGAAAUGCGUUGAGAUCGGAAGGAACGCCCGUGGCGAAAGCGAGGUCCUGGACGUUUACUGACGCUGAGACGCGAAAGCUAGGGGAGCGAACGGGAUUAGAUACCCCGGUAGUCCUAGCCCUAAACCAUCAGGACUUGGGGUUUGCCCUGUACGGGGCAAGUCCCGGAGCUAACGCGUUAAGUCCUGCGCCUGGGGAGUACGGUCGCAAGGCUGAA
rnacentral:rRNA from 1 species